ensembl:lncRNA
AACAAUUUUAGAGUCUAUUUAUCUUCUCAGGAUGAUCACCUUCACCAAAUCAUCCUGUCGUCUGCUUGCUGCAGGUUUCUAUAACGGAGAAGAUUGCAGGCCUGCAUACUUUAAAAUAAACAAAUAAGUAAAUUCCAUCUGUCUUUUUUGCUGAAAACACCCGUCACACAAGCCUUUGCAACAGAAGACUCUAGAUUUGGAAUAACACAAUGGCACCCAUGCAAAGAUGAAGAAACUAAAGCUCAGAGGGUCCCAAAGUCACACAGCAAGAAAAUCAUGCAGUCGGGACUUGAUGCUAACUCUCCUGGCCGUAAAGCCCCUGCUUCCCCACAGGGCCCGCUGCCUCUCACGUUGGCAGUUACGGACCACGUUACACGUGCCAAGCCUUUGUGUUGGUCUCGCGGUUAGAUAUACGUUCCCAUUUCUCCAAAACUUAGAGGGUAAAAAUACUCUGUCAACCAAGAAACUGAAAUAUCAUCUGCUGAACCAUGAAGGAGAAAGAGCAGCAAAUAAAAACUCUCGGAAGAUAAAGCCACCUCGCAAACAUGUCUAACCAGUGAGGGCCAGGCUUCUACGUGCUGAUGAAAUCGGGGACCAUACAAGAGGAAGCCCUUCUUUGUUCUAUUCUCCCUCCUUGGUCUGGAAGAGUGUCGAAGAGACACAGCAUAUUUCAAGCACAUCACUCUGAGCGCUAUCAAUAAGCAUCGGGGCUUGCUGAGACAUCUCUGCUGUUCCUGGAAUGUGGAGCCAUCCUGGCAUUUCCUUUCUAGUUUCUCUGCCCUUUUAUUGCCUGCUGAGUGCCAGGAACUGUCAAGCAGAGAAGAUGCCAUGUAGUCCUUGUCCUUGUCCUUACAGAGUACCGUGUCUGAUGGGGGAGGUAUUUUAGGAAACAUAUGCAGUAGCGUGUGGUGAGUAUAUCAGACGUGUAACAAAGAACGUCAAUGACACAAAGGAAGGAGUGAUCAACUGUGCCCGUGUGAGUCAAAGGAGGCUUUUUCUGGAGGUGCUUGAGUUGAGCUUUAAGGAAUCAAAGGACCACCAGGAGGUGGAGGAGUAUUCAAGACAGAGAAACAAUAUUGCCAAGACCCCAUGGCCGGAAAACCAGGGCACUGCUUUCCUCCAUGGCACCUGAGGCAUGAAGCAAGACAGUGGGGAAGGAGGCAGAGGAGGCCAGGGCUGAGCUGCUUCCCAAGGCUCCUAGGAAACACUUCUUGACUUGAUUUGAAAAAAUUCACUGAAGAACUGAAAAGAGGUUUGCUUGUUACUCCAGUAGACUUUCCAGAGAGGUUCCAUAUUGAAAAGGCUCAGGUAGGAACACAGACUGUUCAAUUAGAUGUGCUUGGGAGAAAGGCUAGUCUCAGCUGCUCUUGGAGCACAGGAAUAUGUGCAUCCUCAGCCAAGAGAGCAGGAAGAGCUGAAGGAACCAGAGAUGCCAUCAGCCUGGGCUAUGAACAGGACUCUCAGGAAAGACGCUGAGCCAUGAGUUUGUCGCUUCUGGCUACAGGUCAAUCCAAGCAGCUGACCACCAUCCAUUCACAUUCUGUCAUUCACUCAGCCAGUAUUUAUGGAGCGCCUACCACAUGCCAGGCCCUGUUUAAGUGCUGGGAAUACAACAGUGAACAGAGCAAUUUCCCUGCUGCAUGGACACUCAUUCUAGAGGAAAGAGACAAAACAACAUACAGAGAAGCAAGCCUAUCAGAGGGUGAGAGGAAGUAUCUGGUUCGGGAAAAAGCCUUCCUACUUUGAUUCAGCAGGCCAGUUUCCCACUUUUCUUCUUUUUUUAAAUCUCCUUUCCUCACUAUAUCCUGGCCACCCUCGUUCAUAGAAUGAGAAGGAAGAAAGAAACAGUGAAGGGAAGAAGGAGACAGGAGACAAAGGAGAAGCAACAGGAACCAAUGAUCGCUCCUUUGAAAUGUUUCUCACUUUCAACCAGGCAUGCCUCCACCCCAUUCCACCCCGCCACCCCCCUCCAAGCCAGGACACCUCACCCCUGGACUGCCACCCUCAUCCAAGGACCACCACCCUCAUCCAAGCCAGGACCCCUCACCCCUGGACCGCCACCCUCAUCCAAGCCAGGACCCCUCACCCCUGGACCGCCAUCCUCAUCCAAGCCAGGACCCCUCACCCCUGGACCGCCACCCUCAUCCAAGCCAGGACCCCUCACCCCUGGACCGCCACCCCCGUCCAAGCCAGGACACCUCACCCCUGGACCGCCACCCUCAUCCAAGCCAGGACACUUCACCCCUGGACCGUGGUACAACUACCUGGUGUGUCUCCUGCUUCCACUUCUGUGACGUCCUGCCCACAAUCCUUUUGCAGCACACUAGCCAAGAAAGUGCUCCGUGAUGAAGGACCUGCUUGGAUUUGGGGCACGUGGAGGGAGCACUUGCCUACCGUAGAGUGUGCACUUUCGUCGGCCGACCUUCCUGCACUUUCGGAAAACGGUUUACAAUGAGAGAACUGGGGACACUGGAUUUGAUCACAGUCCCAGCUGCCACUCACUGUCUUCUCCGCCAGUGUAGAGGAGCUUUUUAUGAUAUUACUGUCUUCUCAUUCCAGGUGAAAUUUAAAACGAGCCAAGUCAGUGCUGCCACUGCACUUGGAGAUUGUCUUUAUCAAAUGAUUCAACUUAAAUGUCCCUCCCCAGUCCUUCGUUUGUGUGUGUCAUUAUCUCCACUUUCUGCCUCUGCCUCCUUCACCACUUGUAAUCCAGCCAGCCCGCAUGACUGCCCUUCUCUAUCAAGUAGUUCUCCGUGUGACUGCCCCUCUGCGCACUCAGGACUCUGACCUCUCCCUGCUGGGGCAGGCUGCCUGCCUCCCUUAAUGAAAUAAAGCGGGACCCUGCACUGAACAAGCCAGUCUCGUCACACUUUCUUGAAUGCAUCGCGUCUUUGUCCUCUUCUGCCUGAAACAACUGUCCCCUCGACUCUUGGCACAGCUCGACUAUUCUUGUCCCUCACAUUUCCGUCUUCACAAGGCCUUUGCUGAUCCCCUCCUCUCCAACACCUGCCAUCCUCCAUUAUCUCCCUAGAGGCUUCCAAAAUAACUCUCACGAUUACAUCAUGCUUGGAAUUAC